CCAGCUGUAACCCAAGCAGGAAGGUCCAAUGCUGGCACCUCUUUCUAGAAUGGAGACUGAUGUUGACUAAACAGCUUUAGACUAACAUCCUGGACUCGAUAUAAAAUUCUUCUUCCUCCUAGCCAGCUGUUCUUUGCACUUACAUGUAAGUUUUAUUUUCUCUGCUUUCUCCUGAGAUUAGGGGCUAGCUUGUUCCCUAAUGUUGAUUAGUGGGGUUCUGCCUUGCUCUCUGUGCUUGAGUCCCCAUCAAGGUUAUGACACCAGUACCCUAGUCACAUUAGGAUUAGGACCUCUGAGGAACUAAAGACCUAUGUACUUCUAUCAGCUUCAGUUACAUAUCAACUUUGAGGAGAAUUGAAUGGGUGAAUCCCAGUUACCUAAUGAUAGGCUUCCCAGAAGCCAAUUCUCCAUACAUAUCUGUAGACUUCAAGGAUUACACAAGAGCACCGUGAAGCCAGAGAGUGACAAAAGGACAUCAUGCCUGCUAAACACUGAAAGAAUAUAUUCAAAAUGCUAUAUGAGUCAUUACCCAGAUAGGAAAACCAAAGCAUAUCACUUACUUUAAAAGCAAUAAUUCAAUAUACAGAAUGGUUAAACACAAAAGUGGCUAAACAAGUAUUAGAGGAUGAAAUGUGGAAAGAAAACACUAAGAUAACAAAAAUGUAAUAGAAGAUGAGAAGCCCAGAUUCCCUCUCACGGAAGGACAAGGUGUCCCCGGGGUCAGCAACCAGCCUUGAGCUUUCAGCUACUUCACCGUUUGACACAGCUGCAGCGAGUUAGCCUGCCCCCAAGAACUGGUAACAGGGACUCUACUUCUGGUGGAGCACAAACAGCCCCUGGCACAAGGUGGGUAUUCCAAUGGUUAAAACUCUUAUCAGUAAUGACUAGGGAUAUGUGCCACUGAGGAAGAAAUCACUAACAGAUGAACCAGAGCAAGGGUUUGAGUUGUAUUCAUUUUCUAAACUAUACAACAAAUUACCACAAGCUUAGUGUCUUAAGCAAAAUACAUUUAUUAUCUCACAGUUUCCAUUUGUGAGGAGUUGGGGCAGGCUUAGCUAGGUCUUUGGCUCAGGGUCCCACAGGGCUACAGUCAAGGCACUAGCUGAGCUGCAUUCUCAUCAAAGGCUGGACUGGGGAAAGAUCUGCUUCCAAGCUCACUCAGGUUGUCGCGGGUUUCAUUUUCUGGCAGUUGUAGAACUCAUGGCCACUGGCUUCUUCAAAGUCAGCAACAGAAGUGUCUGCAGCUUUAAGUCUUACUUCCAGACCCUUCUUAAAAGGGAUCACCUGGUCCCACCCAGAAAAAUCUCCCUUUUGAUUAACUUAAAGUCAAUUAGUUAAGGGUCUUAAUGACAUCUGUAAAUUUCCCGCAUUUGCUAUAGCCUGGUUAGAAGCAAGUUACAUGUCUCACUCAAGCUUGAGGGGAGAAGAAUACAUAAAGGCAGAUACCAGGGGGAUGGGAUGCAAGGGGGACAUCUUAGAAUUCUGCCUACCACAAGAGGUAAGGAGGAAAUCGGAGCUAGAAGAAUAAAAGCAUUGAAGAGUGAUUGCUAAGUGCCUUUGAUACUACAGCAAGAUAGUGAACAGCUGAUGGCAAUUACAAUCCAGGCAUGAAUGUCAGUAUCCUCUCUGACGGCAUACAAAGUGACCCUCAUUUCCUUCCAGGGGAAGAUAAAGAAAUCCAAGUGGCUGAACCUAAAAAAAAAAAAAA
ensembl:lncRNA